UACGUAGGGUGCGAGCGUUAAUCGGAAUUACUGGGCGUAAAGGGCGCGUAGGCGGCCUGUUAAGUCGGACGUGAAAUCCCUCGGCUCAACCGGGGAACUGCGUCCGAUACUGGCGGGCUUGAAUUCGGGAGAGGGAUGUGGAAUUCCAGGUGUAGCGGUGAAAUGCGCAGAUAUUGGGAGGAACACCAGUGGCGAAGGCGGCACUCUGGGCCAGUACUGACACUGAGGAGCGAAAGCGUGGGGAGCGAACAGG
rnacentral:rRNA from 1 species